AUCCGGGCCGUGCAGUCUGCCGGAGGCCCGGCCCGACCCGCCCCCGAGCUCCCCACAUCACACACACACGACCCCCUCGCACCUCCGGGUGGCGGCAGCGACGGCGGCUCCCACGUCAGAGAGAACCUUACAAAAUGGCGACGGCCGCUCGAGCCUGGACGCGACCGGGCCCUUUCUCGCGCGCCAGCUCACGCACGCGCGAGUGCGCGCUGCUUCCCUCCCCUUCCCCUCGCGGGAGCCGAGUGACCAAUCCCGAGGCUGCAUACAAAUGACCACGCAGCACGGGGGCGGGGCCUGUUGGUGGUGGCGCGGCGCCGCGGAGGUCAGCCCACCCCCAGCCCCAGCCAGCCAGUCACCACCCUGGAAAGGGUCGCCACUGCUGCGUCAGAGGGGCUCUGAACGCAACCACUGCCUAGAAAAGCGGAGGCCUUGGGGAGUCGCUCACCACAAUGGGUCCUGCUCUUGGGCCCUUUGAGGGGGGCGGGGAGCUAAUGACAGAGGAAUCUCCCCGAGGGCCCUAAAAAGGGGCUUUUGUAGCGGGCUGGCCGGCUUCUGUGGCAGCUUGGGGCAACAUUUCAAAAAUACAGUGCCCCCAGGCUUGCCAGCUUGGAGUGCAAAUACCUAGAUUCCCUGAGCACCCCCAAGGUAUGACUGUCUCUUCAGUGGAGAUUUUACAGUUGUAUUUGAAGAAAAGAUGCUGUGUAGUGCUGAUGGAUUCUUCCACUUAGUCCCAUGACAGAUUGUUCUAGUUACGCGUAUCCACCUGUUGGCUGUGGAACAGUAAAUCUACCCAUCUUAAGGGGGAAAUUAUCCUGCAGGCUCUCUGGUCUACCGGUUUGGAGCCCACUCUGGGGCUGUGAUGUGCUAGUUCUGGGCCUGCACACACCUAACUCGGUCUUCGUCAUGACUGAUGAUAGGCCCGCAGUCAAUGACUAAAGAUGGGGCUGCCUUCCUGGAAAAACGGUUGUCUGUGUGUAUAGGAAACAAUGAAAGAACACGCUUUUCCUGUUGGAGGCCACCAAGGAGUGCCCACUUCCAUCAACAUCUGGAGACAAACACUGUGCCCUGAAAGCUCCGAUUGCCAAACCAGAGACAAAGGAGAAGCCACCCGCUCCUUUCUAAUACUUCAUCAGAUCCAGAAGGCAGUUGUCCUGACAAGAGGGCGGUCCCUGUCGACUGUCCCUG
rnacentral:lncRNA from 1 species